UCUACGACUCUCGGCAACGGAUAUCUCGGCUCUCGCAUCGAUGAAGAACGUAGCGAAAUGCGAUACUUGGUGUGAAUUGCAGAAUCCCGUGAACCAUCGAGUCUUUGAACGCAAGUUGCGCCCGAGGCCUUUCGGUCGAGGGCACGCCUGCCUGGGCGUCACGCC
rnacentral:rRNA from 2 species